rnacentral:lncRNA from 1 species
UUUCACAGCUGACUGAAUUAAAACACCUGGAUUUAUCAUAUAAUUUAUUAUCAAGUUUGCCUGAUGAAUUUUCAAAUCUCAGGUCUCUUGAAGAGUUAAGCGUUGAAGGUAACAAGCUUGCCACGCUACCCUCUGGACUGUUGCAACUGGAUCUGCUAUCAUUCAAUGCAUCCAAUAAUUUUUUACAUCCAAUUUUCUGGCCAGAGACAAUUAAAGAAUUCAGAGAAGACUUUCAGAAAUCACCUGUUGGCUACCUGCGACAACUGCGAUAAGCGGUUCGAGCGCAAACAUGGUCUACAUGCCAUCAGAAUAUGCAAAAAGGUGUUCGGAAUUCAGGCUGUUCUGGUGCUGUUUAUCACGUGUUCAGAGAGAUGCAGGAAGGACCUUUGAAGACAAAUUGACGAACGAUUGUGCAAGCUUCCAAUAAAUUCUUCGGCCAAU